AUUGCAUUACGUCGUUAAUAUAGAGUCAGUGUAUCGGCAACAUUACCUCCUUCAUGAGGGGUUCACCGUUCUUCAGCCAUCUGUGUGAAGGUUUCGGGUCCCCAUUUGCCUUGCAAACCCACUGAAGACUUUCUUCGAUGGGAACAAACGCAUCUGAUAUGCUCCGACUCCAGUUAGGCCGUGC